CGGCCCAAUCCAAUCGCCCGCACUCCACAACCCUCCCUCCUCGAUCUCUCCCCCUCAGCCGCCACAAACCCUAGGUCCUCCCCUUCUACCCUGCUCUCCACCGCGUCGCUUCCUCCUCCCCUUCACCGUUCCCUCCAGCGGCAGGCACAGGGAGACGACGGCGGCGCUUGAUUUGAUCCGCCCCGCUCCCCUUCCUCUCCAUUGCGCCUCGACCUCGGCUGCCCCGUGCUCUGCUGGCGCCCGUCAGCCUUGAUCCGGCCUCGGCAGGAGGAGCUCGCCCUCGAGACAGGAGGGGAGCAGCAGGAUACAGGAGCAUGGCCUUCUUCUCGCACUGCAGUCGCCGACCUUGUCGUGCUCGAGGAGGAGGAGCAGCAGGAGGGGCGCACCCAGCCACCUAGGUAGCCGCUGUCGAGGGCUUCUUACACCUGAACCUCGACCUCCAUGGUGCUGGCAUCCAGCCACUAGAGUUCAAGGGAAGGAGAGGAGGAUGACGCCCAGACAUGGAGAGGAACAACAGCAGCUCAAGAAAAAUGAAGCAAGACAAGCUGGAGAAGCUCGCACGGACAUCCAAUUUCUUGUACCACUCAACUGAGCCGAGUUACUUGUGGAGACUAUAAGAAGAAUUUCUAGGAAGAGUUUGAUCAAGAAGAGCAAGGCUGACACCCGUAGUUGUUUGGCAUCAAAUUCAGAAGAUACACAUCCUAAGAUUGAAGCAAUGCUACCUGAACCUUGUAUGCCCACCAUUAUUAAUAUUCCAUACUAUUCGUGUUCUUCAGAUCCGAAUAAUUUAUUCGGUCUUGCUUUUGACAUAAAACACAAGUACAGGCAAAGAGAAGACAAGGUCAAACCCCAACACCGGAAGGUAUCUUGGCACCAAACCAUCAUGAGGAGAAGGGGAUGUGUUGAUGUACAUGAGAUAAGCAACCCUGUUCAGAAGUGCUUUAUAGAGGUCAUAUUAAAGGCGGCCAAGGCCAAGGAGUACAAGAGUGACGUGCUGAACCCCUCCGCGGAGGAGUUUGUGCUGCUCUCCCGCCACCAGGGGGACGGCGCACGCCGCCUGUCGGCCGACGUGCCCGUCUUCGUCUCGCCCGCGAUCGACUACUAUGUUCCUCCGUCCAUCGACUCUGUCCGUGCAGGUGGCCAGUCUCCUUCCGCCCCAGCCUUCUCCACUAUCUUCCCAACUGGUACAGGUGUGAUCUUCAUGGAGCUAGCCAUCAUUGGAUUUGGUAAUACAUAAUCACUUAUUCAGAGAGCCCAAGGUGAGAAGGGACGAGCAUCUAGAACACCACCACCUACUAAUCAGUGAGCUACUAUCUGUCUUUGAAUGAGUUACUUAACAAGAGAAGGCAGGUAGCAAUAGAACACGUGCAAUCUCAAUGUUUACUAAUUAUGUAUUUCUGAAUUUAUUCGUUCCCAGCUGCUCUGAAUCUGGGUGUUUUGCUUGCUGCUUUGUAGGAGUUUCCUACCUUUCUUCUGCAAAUCUGGAAUGCCUUUAUGGCAUGAUCA